rnacentral:rRNA from 2 species
UACGAGAGGCCCAAACGUUAUUCGGAUUUACUGGGCUUAAAGAGUUCGUAGGCGGCGCGGAAAGUAGGGUGUGAAAGCCCUCGGCUCAACCGAGGAAUUGCGCUCUAAACUGUCGCGCUCGAGGAACCUAGAGGUGAGCAGAACUGAUGGUGGAGCGGUGAAAUGCGUUGAUAUCAUCAGGAAUACCGGAGGCGAAGGCGGCUCACUGGGGGUUAUCUGACGCUGAGGAACGAAAGCCAGGGGAGCAAACGGG